AACGAACGCUGGCGGCAUGCCUAACACAUGCAAGUCGAACGAGACCUUCGGUUCUAGUGGCGCACGGGUGCGUAACGCGUGGGAACCUGCCCUUAGGUUCGGAAUAACUCCCCGAAAGGGGUGCUAAUACCGGAUAAUCUCUUCGGACCAAAGAUUUAUCGCCUUUGGAUGGGCCCGCGUUGGAUUAGCUAGUUGGUAGGGUAAAAGCCUACCAAGGCGACGAUCCAUAGCUGGUCUGAGAGGAUGAUCAGCCACACUGGGACUGAGACACGGCCCAGACUCCUACGGGAGGCAGCAGUGGGGAAUAUUGGACAAUGGGCGAAAGCCUGAUCCAGCCAUGCCGCGUGAGUGAUGAAGGCCUUAGGGUUGUAAAGCUCUUUUACCCGGGAUGAUAAUGACAGUACCGGGAGAAUAAGCCCCGGCUAACUCCGUG
rnacentral:rRNA from 1 species